rnacentral:tRNA from 1 species
AGGGGAGUAGCUCAAUUGGUAGAGCGGCGGUCUCCAAAACCGCGGGUUGUGGGUUCGAGUCCUGUCUCCCCUGCCA